UGGGGAAUUUUGCACAAUGGGGGAAACCCUGAUGCAGCGACGCCGCGUGAUUUAGAAGGCAUUCGGGUUGUAAAAAUCUUUUCUAUGGGAAGAAAAUGACAGUACAAUAGGAAUAAGGACCGGCUAAUUACGUGCCAGCAGCCGCGGUAAUACGUAAGGUCCGAGCGUUGUCCGGAAUCAUUGGGCGUAAAGGGUACGUAGGCGGGUAAGCAAGUUAGAAGUGAAAUCCUAUAGCUCAACUAUAGUAAGCUUUUAAAACUGCUCAUCUUGAGGUAUGGAAGGGAAAGUGGAAUUCCUAGUGUAGCGGUGAAAUGCGCAGAUAUUAGGAGGAAUACCGGUGACGAAGACGACUUUCUGGCCAUAACCUGACGCGGAGGUACGAAAGCGUGGGUAGCAAACAUG
rnacentral:rRNA from 1 species